rnacentral:rRNA from 1 species
AACGAACGCUGGCGGCAUGCCUAACACAUGCAAGUCGAACGAGACCUUCGGGUCUAGUGGCGCACGGGUGCGUAGCGCGUGGGAACCUGCCCUUAGGUUCGGAAUAACUCCCCGAAAGGGGUGCUAAUACCGGAUAAUGUCUUCGGACCAAAGAUUUAUCGCCUUUGGAUGGGCCCGCGUUGGAUUAGCUAGUUGGUAGGGUAAAAGCCUACCAAGGCGACGAUCCAUAGCUGGUCUGAGAGGAUGCUCAGCCACACUGGGACUGCGACACGGCCCAGACUCCUACGGGAGGCAGCAGUGGGGAAUAUUGGACAAUGGGCGCAAGCCUGAUCCAGCCAUGCCGCGUGAGUGAUGAAGGCCUUAGGGUUGUAAAGCUCUUUUACCCGGGAUGAUAAUGACAGUACCGGGAGAAUAAGCUCCGGCUAACUCCGUG